rnacentral:rRNA from 1 species
AAUUUUGGACAAUGGGCGCAAGCCUGAUCCAGCCAUGCAGCGUGAGUGAAGAAGGCCAUCGUGUUGUAAAGCUCUUCCGGACGGAACGAAAUCGCGCAGGCUAAUAUUCCGCGCGGAUGACGGUACCGUCAUACGAAGCACCAGAUAAUGACGUGCCUGCAGCCGCGGGAAUACGAAGGGUGGGAGGGUUAAUCGGAAUUACCGGGCGUAAAGCGUGCGCAGGCGGUUGAUUAAGACAGGCGUGAAAUCCCCGGGCUUAACCUGGGAACUGCGCUUGUGACUGGUCAGCUAGAGUACGGCAGAGGGGGGUGGAAUUCCACGUGUAGCAGUGAAAUGCGUAGAGAUGUGGAGGAACACCGAUGGCGAAGGCAGCCCCCUGGGCCGAUACUGACGCUCAUGCACGAAAGCGUGGGUAGCAAACAGG